rnacentral:rRNA from 1 species
UGGGGAAUAUUGCACAAUGGGCGCAAGCCUGAUGCAGCCAUGCCGCGUGUGUGAAGAAGGCCUUCGGGUUGUAAAGCACUUUCAGCGGGGAGGAAGGCGUUAAGGUUAAUAACCUCAUCGAUUGACGUUACCCGCAGAAGAAUCACCGGCUAACUCCGUGCCAGCAGCCGCGGUAAUACGGAGGGUGCAAGCGUUAAUCGGAAUUACUGGGCGUAAAGCGCACGCAGGCGGUCUGUCAAGUCGGAUGUGAAAUCCCCGGGCUCAACCUGGGAACUGCAUUCGAAACUGGCAGGCUAGAGUCUUGUAGAGGGGGGUAGAAUUCCAGGUGUAGCGGUGAAAUGCGUAGAGAUCUGGAGGAAUACCGGUGGCGAAGGCGGCCCCCUGGACGAAGACUGACGCUCAGGUGCGAAAGCGUGGGGAGCAAACAGG